UUCCUUUGUAGAAGGAUACCAAGUCAGUCAGACAUGAUUUGCCCAUAGUGGAGCCAUGUUGCCAGUCACCAGUCACCUCUCUGUUUUCCAUGUGCCUUAGCACUUUCUAGGAGGAUCAGCCCGGGAAGAGAGGUGAAAUUGAGUGGCCUGUAGUUUUCUGGGAUUCCUACUUUCUCUUUUUAAGAAUGGAGUUUAUGUUUCAGCUUUUCCUGUCACUGGAACAAUGGUUGUGCUCUUGUGAUUAGAGUGUUUCAGCAGAACAGCAAGCAAUGAUGCCUCUAUCUUACCAUGGUUUCCUACUAACAGGUGAGCAGUGUAGGAGAGACAUAUGGAGUGUCCUUAGAGGCAGGUUAUUCAUGCCUCUUCUUCAGACUGCUGGCACACUCCCUUCAGUAUGCCUCAUCUCACAAACCUAGGCUCAUGAGAUCUGAACAUUUAAUUGUUUUGCCUGCCCUGAGUUUUGAGUUUUGUCUUUCAUUGAUCCCUAAAAUACAACUGUUCAUUUCACUGCUACAAAAAGCAGGUAAGUAUGCCUAGGUUAAUGGGGUUGGUCAAGAAAUAUUAAAAUGAAUGAUACUAUGUUAGAAAACUAAGGGGAACAGGAAAAAAAAAUCUUCUCCAGGUGAGACCACCUCCAUUUAUGAGCACUUACAUAUGGUUUAGGUCCUCACUUGUGUGGGGAAAAAAAACAAACAAACAAACCUGGAUUUAAUUAUUCGUUAGUGUCAACAAUAAAUAGACUAAUUGUUGGACAAUGCAGUGAAACAUUAGAAGGUUGAAUGCAAAAUUACACAAAGAAACUUUCAUUCAUAAGUGUAAAGUAUUUUAAUUUGAACAGCUUUAGUAAUAAGCAAAUUUUCAAAAGUUUACAUAUUGUUUAUUUUCUGUAACCGUAAAGAAGUAUUCAUCUUCAUGCAAACUAUUUUGGAAAUUCUGGUAUUAACUUUUUCUUUCUUUUAUCCACUUAUGAAUAUCAGCCCACUACAGCAGCUAUUACACCUUGCCCUCUUCCUCCCAAUGUUCUCAGAAGUGGCUCAGCAGGAUUGUGCAUUUUCAUAAAUGUUCUUCUCUCUUUCAUUUUCACAAAAGAAAAAUGGAAAUAUAGAAACUCUAUAAUUAUUUU